GACGAACGCUGGCGGCGUGCUUAACACAUGCAAGUCGAACGGAAAGGCCCUGCUUUUGUGGGGUGCUCGAGUGGCGAACGGGUGAGUAACACGUGAGUAACCUGCCCUUGACUUUGGGAUAACUUCAGGAAACUGGGGCUAAUACCGGAUAGGAGCUCCUGCUGCAUGGUGGGGGUUGGAAAGUUUCGGCGGUUGGGGAUGGACUCGGGGCUUCUCAGCUUGUUGGUGGGGUAGUGGCUUACCCAGGCUUUGACGGGUAGCCGGCCUGAGAGGGUGAUCGGCCACAAUGGAAGGGAGACAGGGGCCAGAGUCAUACGGGAGGGAGCAGUAGGGAAUCGGCGGCAAUGGGCGAAAGCCUGACGGAGGAACGCCGCGUGAGUGAUGAAGGUCGUGGGAUCGUAAAAAGCUGUUAUUAGGGAAGAAAAAAUGUGUAAGUAACUAUGCACGUAUUGACGGUACCUAAUAAGAAAGCCACGGCUAACUACGUG
rnacentral:rRNA from 1 species